CCGCUCUGUUCCCCUCCACGCCGCAGAAGCGGAAGUAAAGCUAUGUGUGGCGCGUGGGUACAGUCUGGGUUGAGGGACAGCUAUUUUCCGGUUUUUCUGGAGAAGUGCAAAGUUCUCUUUCUUUAAGACAAAUGAGGUACAAAAGGUGGAAGCAACCCAAAAUGUCAAUUGACAGAGGAAUGGAUAAACAAAAUGUGGCUUAUACAUAGAACAGAAUAUGAUUCAGCUUCAAAAAGGAAGUCUUGUCAUAUGCUACGUCAUAGAUGAACCUUGAGGACAUUAUAUUAAGUGAAAUAAACCAGUCACAAAAAGACUUUGUCUUUCUUGCUAGGUUUGAUGAAGUAAAUUGCAAUGGUGAAGAGGCCCAUGUGGCAAGGAGCUGAGGGUGGCCUCUGAUCAACAGUCAGUGAUAAUCAAGUCCCUCAGAACAACACUCAAGGAACUGACUUCUGCCAAUAACCACGUCCUUCCAUACACUGAUGGUUCUCGCUAUGUUUUUGAUGAGGUUGCACAGCCAACCUCGGGCAAGGUGAUGAAGGGAUGCGCAGAGACUUUCUCUUGCAGGUGGCACCUUGUUUCUUCCCUGCCAUGAAAUCUCCAUUGGUCUUGUGAAUGGUGAUUUGGAUUCAAAUGCUGGAAGCUGGAGAAAGAGGCCAAGGCAGGAGCAGCUAAAUCAGAUCUCCACUCCAACUACCCUCUUUUCAAAAGACAGACAGUUGCCAUGAUUGUCAAAUUUGGUGUAGAGGCUCCUUCUACAAGAGGUUGUCUUCAUUUAUGACCUUCGUUCAUUCAACACACUCAUUUUUGAUAACUUGUGUGCUAAGCUUUGUGUGAAGAGCACAAAUAAAAUGCUACCGGGGCACAGAGGAGCUUUAUUCUGCUGGGAGACUAGAACUGGGCACCACUACCCACAGGAAACAACAUAUGAAGCGUAUCCAGACUGUGGUAUGUCACUAUGGUAACUAUAGUCUCAACUGUCAAAGAACAAAGGUUAGUCCUUCCUGGUGAAUGUGACCCAUCCUGGUAAGUAUAUUUUUGUUCUCUGUCUACUAAUUGCAACCUCAGAGUCACUAUGUGGCAUUAUAUUAUAAUAGUAAUGGAAGUAUUAUAUUGUAUCUUUGUAUUGCGUGGUAUUGUAUUGUAUCACAUCCAAAGAAGAAAAUAGGAAGGAAAGAAGAUAUUAAUUGAGGUUUAAGGGUGUGGCCACUAAACAAAUUAAACUAACUUUUCCUUUCUCUACUAAUACCUACCUCUUUAUAGCAGAGAUUUUGAGGAAAACUAGUUAUGGUUUUCUAUUUGGAAUGAUAAAAUUUUGAGAAAGAUGGAGAUGAAGAAAGAAAAGAAAUAGGACAUUAUAGUUCCAGAAUUUCCAUAUAGGACAUGCUUGGGGUGGCUGUCAGAAAAGAGGAACAGGGGAAUUUCCUGUAGUAUUUGAGCAAUGAACCCAGUGAUUUUACUUAGGAUUGUAUGUUGAUUUGGGGAGGCUUGGAAGAGGCUCUUAGACAUUGGAAGGGGAAGCUCUCAAGUCAUUCCUUGGUAUUUCCACUGGUAAUAGGGUGCUCAGAAAAAAAUGCAAACAUUUUUAUUGGUAGGUAAUUUAUGAAAAAGCGUUUUCAUACAAGGGAACUUUUCCCAAUUUUAGAAUUGAAGCCCUGGAUGUUCUGACAUGAAGAUUUGUCAAAAGGAACUUCUCUAGACUCCAAAAGAAUACAAUUUCUUAUCCUUGAUGUAACUUAAAUUGAUGAGUUUAUGUAGUCCAAGGAAACAAUUUCUCUAACCUCAGGGGAACAAAAUAAGGUAGUGCCCGAAUAACAGCACAAUUGUCGUCUUGUCUUAGUAGCCUACUCCCUGCUCCAUGCUUUUUGUCUCAGUACCUACAGUGCUGGGGGAAAAAAAAAACCUAUUCAAGUGUGCUAGGGGCCGGUGCCUUUAGAACCCUCCUGAAAGCCCACUGGUUGGAUGAGUCAUUAAAUAUCUCUCCACUCAGUCUGUUCAGCACUGCUUUGCCUGGAUCAUAUCCACAUUCCUACCUUUGACUCUAAACCAAAGUUAGGACUUGCUUAUUCCUUUUGGCACAUUUUCAUAUCAUGAGCACAUUUUGUGAUAUGUCCAUCUGCACAGCUAUCUAAAUAAGCACAGACUUAUGGGGAGUGUGGCUGAGAGUUCACUUAAGAUCAUUUACAGGCUCCUGCCUGCCUCUUCUAGAUUGGCAGCCGCAAAUGAGGUUAAUCAUGACUGUGUUAAAUACUGUAGAGUGGUCUGGUCAUAUGUUACACCUGAGAGUGUUGAGUCUGUCUCUGAAUUGAAUGCCUAGUACUCUUUUGGUGACUUGGGCUUUGAGCUGUGUUGACUUGUCAGGGGGACAAGUCAAUAAAUCUUAGCUAGAUAGUUUGUGAUAUAUUAUUAGGAAUGUUAGAUAAGGCAGUUCCAUGUAACUCCUAUCAUUGUGCAUUCUUGGAUUGAAAAUAAGUCAGUCUCUCAACAGUUUGGAGAGGAAGCCUUAGAACUGGCCCUUUGAACACCAUGAGAAACGAAAAUGAUAUGUGCAGACACUUUGAAGAGCAACUCUGUAUCCUCUGAGUUGCUAAUGUACAAAAUAUGAAGGAUCUAGAUGCUUGCUAUGAAAAUACAAAUAGGAAAUAAACCACCGUUCCUAACAACUGAAGAACUUUCUGCCAUUUUGCAGAUGGUUACCUAAGUAACUGAAAUCAUAACUGCUUUAAUUUGAUGCAUUAAUGUAUACUGUGUAAGCCAUUAUGGAACCGUGACAUUCUCAGUCUGCAAUCAAUAGCAAUAUUAAGAAAGGAGAAAACAAGGAUUAAUUAUUAGCAUUGGUAAACAUUUAAUUAAUGCCCAUAAAAAAGCAAAUGCUUGCAUGGACAUGAUUCAUUAUUGGAUUUUCAGAGGGCAAAUCUCCAGAGAACCACAUGUCAGUUAUAAACUAAACUUAGAAAGUUUUCCAAGGACCAGUCAUCUAUUUAAUAUCUUGCAUAAAAGCAAUGAUGAUUUCAUUUGAACUGUUGGAGAACACAAAAUGAUGUGUUAUAAGUAAUCUUAAUCCUUACUUAAUAAUGAAAGGGUAACAGUCAAAUGGUUUAGCUCUUAUUCAACUAUUAUGAUAUCGCCAGUUAAUUGCAACUUACAAACAGAGGUAAAAUUUUCAGCCUUAAGUUAUGGAUGACGUUGAAAUGUGGCUUCAUUGUUUAAUUCUGGUCACUGUUAUGCUUUGCCAGCAGCAGAGCUCAACUUUGAGUUCCCAAGGAAGAGCAAACAUACCCAUUAUGCAGUGCCACGUUUUGGAGGUUUUUGGAUGCAGGUUUUUGCAAAUUCUAUUCUUAAGUUUUCAAGUGCUGGCUGAUAUGUCUACUCACAUGAUUCCCAGCUGAGUGAUGCUUGUCCCACAGACAGUCAAUGUUGAAUAAUGGUUUUUGGAAGCUGUGGACUCAAGUUCCUUCUCAAGUGACGAAGCUGGGUAAAGGAUCUCCUUUGUAAGCUGCUUGAAGAAGGUUUGCUGGAGCCGUGUGAAAGUGCUUACUGUCUAGAAGACAGAGCUAUUUUUAGCUUGAAGCCUUUGUUUAGGGAGCAACUUUUGAAGUCGAUGAUGAUGCCAGAUUUGGAAGAAUUUUGGAGGCCUGUGUUUGGGGAGCAGCGCAGAUGAGAAUCAGAUUGGAUCUGCAGACGGUGGGACGUUACAAAUAUGUAUUGAGCACACGUUAUAUAGAAGGACGACGAGACAGUGGAAUCCUGUGACAAAUCACUCCUUUUAAAGAGAAAUAUAAAUACAGUAAGUACUCAGCCACCGUCAAAGGCUAGUCACAAACAACAGCAACAAACCAUACAGCUUCAAAAGAAGGCUGGUACCCUAUUUUCCUUUGGAAAUGCUUAAUGAAAAGCUGCAUGAAAAAUUUUUGUGGAUUUGAAGAUUUUGGAAUAAGCAAGAGGCAGAAACAGAAGUCCACGUGUUCUUGCUUUACUGGCUUUAAUUGUUUUGGUUUCAAGCUUAACAGCAAAAUCUUCUUGCCAAGUAACUAUGCAUGUGCAUGGGGUCUUUCCUGCUUCGCUUCACUCAGGCGUCCGUUGGAAGAAAGGCCCUGGUUUGUAUCAGUCAGACAUCAUUUUAAUGUAAGAGAAAACACGUCCCUUGGAACCAUUAAGGGAUUGCAACUUAUCAUUAGAGUGAAUAAUAGGCUGCAAUGUCUGUUUAGAAUAGGAUUUGAGAAAUUAAUUACUGGGGUAGGUCACAAAAUGCUUCACUGUUUUCUAAUGAUCAUAAACUGCAAUUUCACAAUCAGAUGGUGAAAAAUUUGUCAGAGCAAUAUAUUUAUCAUUUAUCACUUUAGAAAGAGGUCAGCAAACUUUCUCUGUAAAGAGCCAGACAGUAGAUAGUUUAGGAUUUGUGCCUUUGUAGCGUGAAAGCAGCCAUAGACAAUAAGUAAAUGAAUGAGCAUACCUAUAUGCCAAGAAAACUUUAAGUAUUAUAUUUCAUAUAAUUUUAACGUGUCUUAAUACCUUAUUCUUCCUUUGAUUUUUUUUUCAACCAUUUAAAAAUGCAAAAGCCAUUUUUAGCCCUGGGUUGUACUAAACCGGGCAGAGAAUCAAAUUUAGCCUAAAGGCUGUAGUUUGCUGACUCGCUUUAGAAGAAAAGACCCUUUUAUUAUUUACACUGAGAUGUCUGAGUAUUAUUUUAAAAAGCAAUGCAUUCUUUUUCAACUCACAAUUUUUAUAUGUUUCUGGUCCAAUGAUUAUUGUUUUUGAAAUGCAUUGAAAGGUCAGUUUGAGGACUACAGUAUGAGGGCUAGCUCAGUGGCACAAGGUUUGACAAAUUAAACUCUGACUGUGUUCCUCUCAUUAUGUUCCAAUUCUGUUCAUCAGUAAAAGGAACUUCUGUCGUU